rnacentral:rRNA from 1 species
UAUUUAGGUAGUGCCUCGAGUAUGAGACUGAUGGGGGUAAAGCACUGUUAUGGCUAGGGGGUUAUUGCAACUUACCAACCCAUGGCAAACUAAGAAUACCAUCAAGUUGCUCCUCGGGAGACAGACAUCGGGUGCUAACGUCCGGUGUCAAGAGGGAAACAACCCAGACCGCCAGCUAAGGUCCCAAAUGAUAGAUUAAGUGGUAAACGAAGUGGGAAGGCACAGACAGCCAGGAUGUUGGCUUAGAAGCAGCCAUCAUUUAAAGAAAGCGUAAUAGCUCACUGGUCGAGUCUUCCUGCGCGGAAGAUGUAACGGGGCUCAAAUCUAUAACCGAAGCUGCGGAUAUACUUUUGUAUAUGGUAGGGGAGCGUUCUGUAGGCCUGUGAAGGUGACUUGUAAAGGUUGCUGGAGGUAUCAGAAGUGCGAA